CAGCGGAUGAAAUGCACUUCAUUAAUAUUUAAUCGGGAGUUACUCACAACAAAGUCAUUGAACGGCUAUAGCCCAAUUACGAAUCAAAGUCAGCGCAAUGACUCAGUUUAUUUGCAUGGGAAUUUAAUUGACACAAAACUGGCAAAACCGAAUGCGAAAAGGAUAAACAUUUUCCAUUUCGCAUUUGUUUUGGAAUGCACCAAAAAGUAAUGGCGCUUAAGAUUAUAUAAACAUUUUAAUUAGCAAAAUAACAAAACUGUUUAUCGGUCAAUUACCCUAGAGCCAAGUUUAGACGCUUUGUGUAUGAAGUUAGCACCAUUAAAUUUAUUCAUUAUUUGCAUACAUUCUAAGCGAUAGCGAAGGUACAAACAUGUUCUUCCUUAAAUUCAUAUUUAUAAACGUAUUUUUUCGUUCAGGUUUAGAUUUCAUUGGCUAACUUAGUUAACUUUAAUGAAAAACGUAUACUUGAUUUUUGAUUAUACCUUAAACCUUAAACACAUGAUCUGUUUCAUUAGCUAGUGAAAAAUGCCAGAUUUGUUCAGGUAUCCAGAUCACUAACCUCUGUCUUUGAGAGAAGCACUAUAUUCCCAUGGAGUUCAUCUGCCUAUAUCUAAACCCAUAAUUUUUGCAUACAGCUGCGGCCAUAAAUUUGCCUUCCAAAUGUUUACAUUCUCCUUGAGCAAAUGUCUUUGGCCUGCUUCAAUUAGCAGGCACCGAAACAAGGAAAUGCGGCAAAUGCAAAUUCCCGGAACCCCAGAAGGCGAGGGACGAGGGCCCCAACACAUUGGUGGGUCUCGCUCGGUUAAAUGUUAUUAUUAGAUACGCAAAAACGCAUUCAACCGGCGGGCGGACAAAAGACGGGGGAGCAGGCCUCUAAUUGCGGUGAAUAAGACUGUUUACUCGGCCGGCGGAGUGACGAACUUGGCCGGGAAUGGCAGGUAAGCCCACUUAACCGGUUGGUUGAAACGCCCCACUGAUAAGAACGACGUCGUUGACUGCACCUUCCGAUUCAUGCGACUCGUUUCGAGUUGCCCUGGAUGUGGUCGCCUUAUUUGCUUUCAACUUAGCAGGUGACAAUGACUCUUUGUCUGGGUUUGCUCUUUCCGCCGUCCGUCCCUGGCUAAAACUCAUUACAAAAGACGAAAGUGUAAACUUAAACAAGUUUGCCUACUACAAGGAAGCACACACAUCAGAUAGUGGUUAGUCUGGUAGCGAAGUGUCGACUGGGAGUUAUCCUCUGCCCACCGUGAAGUGUGCGGAGCUCUGUUUUCAAGAUCAUUAAAAAAGUUAUGAUGCUCUAAAGUUGGGUUGGUAAUAUAAAUUGCACUAAAGUCCGGUUUGGAGUUUAAUUUGCGGUACUUCGUUUAUAAUUUUAAUGGCUAAUAACUCUAUCAUUAAACUAGCCAGUAAAUAAAAGAUAUUUGAGUACGUAGCAGAUAGUGCUGCUGUAAAUUUGAUUACUAGUCGAAAUACCCUUGAAACAUACAAACUACUGGGUGUAGAUAUGACCAGACAUUCUAUAGGUUUCACCCUUAGAAUAUCGAAUCACCUCAGGCGACGUACACGAGUUGUUUGAAUGGCAAAUGAUAAUCGAUAUGUUCCCUCCACGCGCACUUAAUCUUUCACUGUGCACUCGCAGAUGUAUUUAUACAAUUUGCAUUCUUAUUUAUUUCAGUUAACUGCAAUGAAUCAAGCGAUUCUUACAGCUUCUGACCGAUAACAAGCCUCCUGCACUUUUGUUUGCUUGAGCCUAUCUUCAAGCGAGUUCAACUGCACUUGUUGCCAACCAUCUGGCAGUGUUUAAUGGGGUAUGGCCUCUGACAUUUGGCGAGAUUACUAGAGGCAAUUGGAUCAGGUCAGUGAGAAAAGAUUAUGUUAUCAACAGUUGAAACCAUAUGAUCCAUUUUGCUUUGUUUACUCAGAUACGUAAAAGAUACUUAGGAAGAUACGAGUACCUAAGCUAGAUAUUUUGAGAAUCGCAUAGAAAAGCUUAAUGGUUUAAAUGGGUAUUAAUUCACUUUUAUUCCCAUUUGAGAAGCGUAUAAUAAUGCACUAAUUAUUUGUUAAGAAAGCCGAAACAAUUUUUAAAAUGACUAAUUUUUGUCCAGUCUUCUUAUAAUUGAUUAAAUAUAUUGGGCUCUUUACGUCACUGCCUUGUAUUCUGUUUACCUUCUAGUCCAAGAAAAUAAGACCGAACCAGAUUAGAUUACCCAUUAAAACCAUUGGGGUCUGCGGACAGCGGAAACCGAGCAGUUCUUGACCCAAUCACCUCAAUCAACGAAGCGCAAGCGAAAACUGUGUCAAAAGCGAAUGGGAAAGUUGCUCCACACCUGGUCGGUGGAAAAUGGAAAUUCAGAGGCGAGACCUCCGAUCCCAGGGAUUUCUGCAAUUCUUCAAAGUCCACCAGUCAAGGGGCAGCAACGCAGCAGCAUCAGGUUAAGCAUUUUGCCAAAAACGCACACCCAACAACAAAAAAUGGUUCAACGAACUGGGAGGCUCGAUAAGGCAAGUCAAAUUGGCUGUUUUGCUCAACUAACAGUAAAAAAAAGGAAAACAUUUCUUUUGGCCAAAAAUAGCUGGCUGAAUGUGAUAAUAAUUGCGCAGAAAAUGCGAGAAAGAGUGAAGCCAGAGACAAAAGCGAGUGAAAAAUGAAGUGCAGCACAUCAUCAACGGAGGCCAGGCCAAAGUAUCUGAUGGAUACAAACAACUUCAACUGGUUUGGCGGGUGAAAAUGUAUCUGCUCAUUGCCGCAAAGCUUAGCAAACAGCACGCGGAAAUUCUCGAAUUUUUUUGCGACGCAAAAACAUUUACUUCAAUACCGCAUAAUUCACGCCCGAUCGGAUGACAAGUCAGCCGGCUAAUUUAUAUAGAAUACCAUCGAUCUGGAGCUAUACAAAACAAGACAAACUAGUUUCUCGUGAGAAAUGCCUAGGUUAAUGUAUUAUGAUAUGAUGGCUAGAUGUCUGGCGGCUUUUGCCGAAUAUAAUAAGCGUUAAUUUCGAUUUGUUUUGGUCUGCACGUGUUUAGCCUGUUGUUCCCACCGUCACAAAUGGGAAAGGUGAGUUUGAUUUAAUAGAGUGGGUUUCUCUUCGAACUUGUUGCCCAACAUUGGACUUCCGUAUAUUUCAACUGUGAAUAAAACACAAUCAGAUCAGUUUCCAAAUAAUAAAACUGGAGAAAUCGUGUUGAAACUUAGCCACUGAUUUCUGAUCAAUGGAAGGAAACAAUUUACACGUUUUUGAUAGAAAUCUACAUAUAUUACUACUCUUAUCAUUUCUAUAAGGGGCUUGCCCAGGAGCUAUAUUAUACAACGAUUUAAAGGGCUUACUAUAGUAUUUUGACAUCUCGGCGAUUAGAUGCAACCCUAAUCACGCUUAAUAGUUUAAACUUUGUCAAGACGCAUUUUCGCAGGCAAAUGCAACAAAUGCAGUGGAAGAGCGGCGACAAAAUCAAAUGCAAAUUGCCAUUGCAUUUCAGCUUUAUGGACAAACAAAACGUAUGAAUAUGCAAAAUGCACAUUGCGCAAUGUUAGAAGGGGAAUAGGGGAAUACAACCGAAUAAUACACAAUAAACAUUACACGCUUAGAACGUAAUUUUUGCAUGAUUCCGCCGCCGUCGACAACUUAUACAAUUGGCGAUAAAACGGAUCGUUCGGUCGCUUCGGUGAAUUAUGGAAACACGUGUCGUCUGGCUUUCCACAUGCAAGCGUAUCCGCCAGAUAAAGAUUGAUGGAUUCAUUCAUGACGAUGCAAUGAAAACUACCAGACGCUUCUUGGCACUGCAGCUGUUUGUCAAUGUUUAUUUUUGGAUGCGGACUCGAAUGGAGUAGAUGCAGAUCCUCCGAUGAGGAUUUCCUUUUCUGUCCGCAACGCCUUUUCCAAGCACGUGCAGGCAAAUGAUACUCUUUUGGAGACACAAGCGACAGGCACUUCGCGAUACCUUGUCCUUCGAGCGGCUUAAGUAACCCACGUGAUUACGGCAGCGUUAAGUCGUGGAAAGAAAUCGAAAACUGGCGGACCACGAAACCAGUUACUUGAAAUGGCCACAAAAGGAAAGGUGCGGGAAGUGAACUCAGCGCAGCUUAACUCACAUUCCCACUGUCGUCGGCAAAAGUGAGCUCAAGUGGAUUGAAACAUCAUAAAUGAUAUAUAUAGGAGUAUAUAUACAUUCAGAUAUAACAAAAGAAAAGAGGUAGCAUAGCUUACAGGAAAUAGCAUAGUUUAUCAAAUGACGCAUACUAUUUGCUUCAGAAAAUUUCAAGUCACAUAAGGACAUAAGGAUUUCAAUUUAAUGAUUAACGACCAGUAGCGCGAAAGAAAUGAGUGAAAAAGAAGUCAAAAAUCUUUUCCAAAAGAAAGAUAGAGAAGCCAUUAACGUCCAAUCCAAAAUGACAGAAAGAGAGGGUCUGACAACAAUAGAAAGAGACGGACGAGUUGAGACGAAUGUCUGGAUUACGUGUGAACCGAUUGUCCCAUUGUUAUUGUAACGCCAUUGUAGUUGUUGUCACACUGCAUUUGCAAUUAAUAAUGUGAUUUCAUUUACGGACGAGACGAACUUGAGCAAUUUAGAAAAGAAAACAAAACAACUCAGUUGAUAAGAGCUACAUAUUUAUUUUGUAUUUCGCUUUGUUGCACUAACAAAAACAAGAAAGCAAGAAAAAUUCAAGAAAAACACACUGAGCGACAUGCAUGAGAUACAACUGGUCGACAUAACAGCAUAUUGUCCAUAUGAGUGUUAUAUAUUGGCGUUAAGGAGAUAAACACAUGUGGUGUGUAGGUGCGUGUUUUUAAUGGAUACAGAAAUCAGCUGAUGCAAUAACUGGCAGCUGUUUCGAAAAACUUUUCGCUUCGAGCUUUUCACUUUGCGUGUUUUCAGUUGUUUUGUUUUGUUUUGCUUUUUAUACUGAAUGAAAACCAAGCAAAACACAGCACUCAUGCUAAUGACCAGCAAUUUAGGAUUUUUAUUUUUUGCGUUGACUAUUUUUGACCAGUUUCGGUGGUUUGUUAUUAAAAUGGAAUUGAUUAAAGUUGCUUGACCUGCAGCGUAUAAUUUUCCCAUUAACAGAUCAUAUUGUGGCGUUUAAAUAAGCGUGAUUUAAGGAUAAGUAAUUAUAUUAAUAAUUAAAUAUUCGCAGCAAAUUUUACUGAUUAUUUGGAAAUCAAUCAAAGGUACUAGACUGUUGAUAGUUUAAACUAGUAGGCCAUCUGCGACUAAUUCAGUGUUUACAUAUUCAUACUGCUUAAUUUGUUUACUUUGUAAUGCCAGAGGAAUUUCACAGCCCUUCUGCUGCCCAACACGCGCCAUUACUUCUAUUAUUUCUCCAAUGGCCCUGAAGUAGUUCAACACACUCCUACCGCGCAUAAGUAUAUCUAUAUACAUGUAUAUAAAUUCGAUGUAUGUUUGUAUGUUUAUCAUACGCAGUGGUGUUUACGUAUUUUAUUUGUAUCGCCAAAAUAAAUCGCACGUGCGUGUGGCUCCCAAA